GGACACACAGUUUAACAUGAUGGACUAUAGGACAGGACUGCUGCUUUUAACUGUCUGCUGGGCAGGUGUUGAUGGUCAGACUCUGACAGAAUCUGAACCAGUGGUUAAAAGGCCUGGAGAAUCUCACAGAUUGACCUGUACAGCCUCUGGUCUCACAAUCAGUGGCUACUAUAUGCACUGGAUCAGACAGGCUCCUGGAAAAGGACUGGAGUGGGUUGCUGCUAUUUACAGUAGCAACAUCUACUACUCUCAGUCAGUCCAAGGCCGGUUUACCAUCUCCAGAGACGACAGCAGACAGCAGGUGUAUCUGCAGAUGAACAGUCUGAAGACUGAAGAUUCUGCUGUUUAUUAUUGUGCUCGAGACUCACAGUGACUGGAGUUGGUGGAGCAGCUGUACAAAAUCCUACAUUUAUAUGUAUAUUUGGUUACGCUGUUUCCUAUUAUUUAAUCAAUGCCAAUUUAGCUUAUGCUGGAUAGUUGGCAUGUUAGUGGGGGAUGGAGCGCCAUGCUAACUUCAACAUGUACAUUGCGUUGAUUGAAUAAAUAACCUUCCACUCAUUUCCCAUCUUAUAUAGUCAACCACUGUAUUUUACGUCUAUGGUCCUUUUCUGAGUCCAUCUGUUGGCUUAAUGCUAAUGUCUCAGGUUUUGUUUUAAUUGCUUUAACGUUUGUGGGAUUAUUACAUUCAGAAAUUAUUAGAUUUAAAGUUGUUGAUAUAUAUGUUAUAUGUUUAUUAUUGUAUAAACAUUGUAAUUCAUUACAAUUGUGGCCUGUCAUUUGACUGGGUGUUACAGCAACCGUGUGUGAGGUCAUAGGUCAUCUUACUGUUGUAAUGGGCUACUGGUGCUUGAAUUUCCCUCAGGAUCAAUAAAGUAUCUAUCUAUCUAUCUAUCUAUCUAUCUAUAUAUCUAUCUAUCAUCUUGUGUUCUCC